AGUCGGUUAAACAGUCGCUGCCUUUUAUACUUGUAUAAAGGGGGGAGGAAAGUCCGGGCUCCACAGGGCAAAGUGCCAGGUAACGCCUGGGAGGUGAAAGCCUACGGAAAGUGCCACAGAAAACAACCGCCUAAGUAGCUUUGGCUAACGGUAAGGGUGAAAAGGUGCGGUAAGAGCGCACCGCGCAACUGGCAACAGUUUGUGGCUAGGUAAACCCCACUUGGAGCAAGACCAAAUAGGAAUCCUACGUGCGGCCCGUACAGGAUUCGGGUAGGUUGCUAAAGAUGUCCAGUGAUGGCCAUCGUAGAUGAAUGACUGUUCGCGACAGAACCCGGCUUAUCGACCGACUCU
rnacentral:RNase_P_RNA from 1 species